rnacentral:rRNA from 1 species
GACGAACGCUGGCGGCGCGCUUAACACAUGCAAGUCGAACGGAAAGGCCUGCUUUCCCUUGUGGAUUGCGGGUACUCGAGUGGCGAACGGGUGAGUAACACGUGAGUGAUCUGCCCCCAACUUGGGUAUAAGCCUGGGAAACUGGGUCUAAUUCCCGAUAGGACUGCAGGGUGGUGCCUGUGGUGGAAAACGAUUUUCUAGUGGUUGGGGAUGAGCUCGCGGCCUAUCAGCUUGUUGGUGGGGUAAUGGCCUACCAAGGCGGCGACGGGUAGCCGGCCUGGGAGGGUGGACGGCCACAUUGGGACUGAGGUACGGCCCAGAAUCCUACGGGAGGCAGCAGUGGGGAAUAUUGCACAAGGGGCGGAAGCCUGAUGCAGCGACGCCGGGUGGGGGAUGACGGCCUUCGGGUUGUAAACUCCUUUCGACCGCGAGGAAGCCACCUGGUUGGAAGGGUGGUGACGGUAGUGGUAGAGGAAGCACCGGCUAACUACGUG